rnacentral:tRNA from 1 species
AGGGUAAUAGCUUAGUGAUAGAGCACGUGCUUAGCAUGCACAGGGUCCUGGGUUCAAUCCCAAGUACCUCCA